UGGAUUAACCCUUCAUAGUAUUAUUGGAUGGCAUCAUUGAUAAUUAAAACUGAGGUGGUAUAGGAUGGGCAUGCGUCUGAUUAGUUAGUUGGCGGGUAAUGGCCCCACCAAGACGAUGAUCAGUAGGGGUUCUGAGAGGAAGAUCCCCCACACUGGCACUGAGAUACGGGCCAGACUCCUACGGGAGGCAGCAGUAGGGAAUAUUGGUCAAUGGAUGCAAGUCUGAACCAGCCAUGCCGCGUGCAGGAAGAAGGCCUUCUGGGUUGUAAACUGCUUUUGCCAGGGGAUAAAAUUUCCAUGCGUGGAAAACUGAAGGUACCUGGUGAAUAAGCCACGGCUAACUACGUG
rnacentral:rRNA from 1 species